CUCCUACGGGAGGCAGCAGUAGGGAAUCUUCCGCAAUGGACGAAAGUCUGACGGAGCAACGCCGCGUGAACGAUGAAGGUCUUCGGAUCGUAAAGUUCUGUUGUCAGGGAAGAACAAGUACCGUGCGAAUAGAACGGUACCUUGACGGUACCUGACGAGGAAGCCCCGGCUAACUACGUG
rnacentral:rRNA from 2 species